GUAGGAAAAAACAUAAUAAAAUAGUUAGAUCUCACUGCACAGAAUCACAACAAGCAAGAGGCAAAAAUCGUUGUUCUCCGAGCUCUCUUCCUCUUUUCAUCUUCGUCUCCGAGCUCUCAAGCCCGUCUCUUUGGACCUCCACCAAGAAGGAAAAUCGUCUGUGCUCAAAUUGGAUGAUAAUUACGACGAUGCGAAAGUGACAAAAACGAAUUCAAUGAUCUCUGUGGCUGAGGAUCACAAGGAAGAAAAGUACCAGAUAGAUCUGAUGGCUCCUUCUCUUGCCUCAAGAAUUUCCAUCGGUUUGAAGAAGCCCAGUUCAGGAAACAGAACUCAGAUCAGAGAUCUUAUUUUAUUUUCAAUCUUCUCUGGUGUUGUCCAUUUAAGUAAAUGUUGUUUUGUCGAACUGGGUGGCUAUUGACUUCUUGUUUUUCAAGAAAUAUGGUGUCGAAAACACAACUAACUUCAGGAAUUUCUAUUUUUCUUGAGGAAACACGAUCGCUUUGAUAUUUCCAGAUCAUGAGACAUUGAUUCGUGCACUGCAUUUUUGUUGCUUUCUCAAAGUCUGUAUCAGAAGAAGUGAAUAAUGGUGGAGGACGAGAUUCUCGAAGAAGCCUCUGGUGAUACUGAGAGGGAAAAAGAGUCUUAAAGGGAUUUUUGUGGUUGUUUUUGCAUUCUAAUCCGUUGGUUUAAAAUGCUUGCCUCUGAGAUGCUUGGAGUUUUGUAUUUGGGGUGGUGGUCGUUUAUGGAAUAAGUCAAGGAUUGAGUGGAGCUAUUAAU